rnacentral:rRNA from 1 species
GAUGAACGCUGGCGGCGUGCCUAAUACAUGCAAGUCGAGCGAACGGACGAGAAGCUUGCUUUUCUGAUGUUAGCGGCGGACGGGUGAGUAACACGUGGAUAACCUACCUAUAAGACUGGGAUAACUUCGGGAAACCGGAGCUAAUACCGGAUAAUAUUUUGAACCGCAUGGUUCAAAAGUGAAAGACGGUCUUGCUGUCACUUAUAGAUGGAUCCGCGCUGCAUUAGCUAGUUGGUAAGGUAACGGCUUACCAAGGUAACGAUGCAUAGCCGACCUGAGAGGGUGAUCGGCCACACUGGAACUGAGACACGGUCCAGACUCCUACGGGAGGCAGCAGUAGGGAAUCUUCCGCAAAGGGCGAAAGCCUGACGGAGCAACGCCGCGUGAGUGAUGAAGGUCUUCGGAUCGUAAAACUCUGUUAUUAGGGAAGAACAUAUGUGUAAGUAACUGUGCACAUCUUGACGGUACCUAAUCAGAAAGCCACGGCUAACUACGUG